CCUACGGGGGGCAGCAGUGAGGAAUAUUGGUCAAUGGGCGCGAGCCUGAACCAGCCAAGUAGCGUGAAGGAUGACUGCCCUACGGGUUGUAAACUUCUUUUAUAAAGGAAUAAAGUGAGGCACGUGUGCCUUUUUGUAUGUACUUUAUGAAUAAGGAUCGGCUAACUCCGUGCCAGCAGCCGCGGUAAUACGGAGGAUCCGAGCGUUAUCCGGAUUUAUUGGGUUUAAAGGGAGCGUAGAUGGGUUGUUAAGUCAGUUGUGAAAGUUUGCGGCUCAACCGUAAAAUUGCAAUUGAUACUGGCAGCCUUGAGUACAGUUGAGGUAGGCGGAAUUCGUGGUGUAGCGGUGAAAUGCUUAGAUAUACGGAGGAACACCAGUGGCGAAGGCGGCCUGCUGGACAUUAACUGACGCUGAGGCGCGAAAGCGUGGGGAGCAAACAGGAUUAGAUACCCUUGUAGUC
rnacentral:rRNA from 1 species